UACGGGGGGAGCAAGCGUUGUUCGGAUUUACUGGGCGUAAAGGGCGCGUAGGCGGCCACCGCAAGUCGACUGUGAAAUCUCCGGGCUUAACCCGGAAAGGUCAGCCGAUACUGCGGGGCUAGAGUGCAGAAGGGGCAACUGGAAUUCUCGGUGUAGCGGUGAAAUGCGUAGAUAUCGAGAGGAACACCUGCGGCGAAGGCGGGUUGCUGGGCUGACACUGACGCUGAAGCGCGAAAGCUAGGGGAACGAACGGG
rnacentral:rRNA from 1 species